rnacentral:rRNA from 2 species
UACGUAGGGGGCGAGCGUUGUCCGGAUUUACUGGGCGUAAAGAGCUCGUAGGCGGUUUGGUAAGUCGGGUGUGAAACCUCCAGGCUCAACCUGGAGUCGCCACUUGAUACUGCCAUGACUUGAAUCCGGUAGGGGACCAUGGAAUUCCUGGUGUAGCGGUGAAAUGCGCAGAUAUCAGGAGGAACACCAGUAGCGAAGGCGGUGGUCUGGGCCGGUAUUGACGCUGAGGAGCGAAAGCGUGGGGAGCGAACAGG